CUUAAAGCCAACUCUACGCACCCCGUGGAUCUCCGAGGGCACUAAGAAAACAACUGUGAUGUUCUAUGCCUGGUCACAAAUUAAGAAGAAGAGGGAGUGUUUAAUGAGGCCUGAUGCGCUGUACCACCAUCUGUAUGAGGUGUUUGACUACACAGACCCAGUGAUCCUGUGGGCAGCCUAUGGACCACAGAGCAAGACCAAAGAAUUCUACAUCCUUCUUAGGGGUCGGAUUCUGUCUUUUAUCCAACAAAUGUUCAGCCUGGACAGAAAGAAGUAUGAAUCUCCUGAGUCACUGGCUGUGAAGGUCCUCUCUAAUUGGAAAAGGCUGGUCCGCUUCCUGCAGUUCUUCCUGGAUGAGAAUAAGUAUUCAUUACUUAUUGACCACAGAUCUGCUUCUGCAGCCUGACGUUGUGCUCCUGGAGCUGACCAAUCUUCUCGAUGAGCUGGCAGAUGUGCUCCAGGUAGCCCAGUCCGGAGCCCAGAGGGUUGGAGCUGGCUUGGUGGACCUGAAGAAUCAAAGAGAGGAGGGUUUGGUGAGCUUAGUGAGGUCAUAGGUCUCUGUAGGGCUGCUAAUUUAACUUUUGCGGUUGAGAACUAGAUGUGAAAUGUACAGAUUGUGUUUCAAGACACUACCACAUGUUCUCUGAGGAAAGGUUGUAAGAAUGUGUUUUUUGUAUAGUUCCCUAUCUUUACAAUGGGUAA
ensembl:lncRNA